UACGUAGGGGGCAAGCGUUGUCCGGAAUCAUUGGGCGUAAAGCGCACGUAGGCGGACUGUUAAGUCGGGGGUGAAAUCCUGGGGCUCAACCUCAGAAUUGCCUCCGAUACUGGCAGUCUCGAGUGCGGGAGAGGUGAGUGGAAUUCCCAGUGUAGAGGUGAAAUUCGUAGAUAUUGGGAAGAACACCAGUGGCGAAGGCGGCUCACUGGCCCGUAACUGACGCUGAGGUGCGAAAGCGUGGGGAGCAAACAGGG
rnacentral:rRNA from 1 species